AUUGAACGCUGGCGGCGUGCCUAAUACAUGCAAGUCGAGCGAGACUCUUCGGAGUCUAGCGGCGGACGGGUGAGUAACACGUGGGCAACCUGCCUGUAAGACUGGGAUAACACCGGGAAACCGGUGCUAAUACCGGAUAAUCCUUUUCCUCUCAUGAGGAAAAGCUGAAAGACGGUUUCGGCUGUCACUUACAGAUGGGCCCGCGGCGCAUUCGCUAGUUGGUGAGGUAACGGCGCACCAAGGCGACGAUGCGUAGCCGACCUGAGAGGGUGAUCGGCCACACUGGGACGGAGAAACGGCCCAGACUCCGACGGGAGGCAGCAGUAGGGAAUCCUCCACAAUGGACGAAAGUCUGAUGGAGCAACGCCGCGUGAGCGAUGAAGGCCUUCGGGUCGUAAAGCUCUGUUGUUAGGGAAGAACAAGUACCGGAGUAACUGCCGGUACCUUGACGGUACCUAACCAGAAAGCCACGGCUAACUACGUGCCAGCCGCCGCAGUAAUAC
rnacentral:rRNA from 1 species